rnacentral:rRNA from 1 species
UACUGGCGCAACCGCGUCCCACCACCAACCUAGGCCUCGCGGGCUCCACGCCCAACCCUAGUCCCCUUUGGGGACAGCCGCACCGGCUGUGGCCACCGCACCGCGGACACCCACGGUGGACUGGAAGGCCCUCCCACAGCCCCCGAUGGGAAGGAAAGCGAAGCAGCACAUGGCCCCUUUUGGGAACCGUCGUCGCAGCAGUAGCAGCGCUAGGAAGAACCUCCACAACUAUCCACGGCCGCGAAGCCUCAGAACCUCGGAUCACCUUCCAGGGCUACCCGCGUCGCUAGCGCUCCGAAGAAGCAAAAACAACUAGACGGCAAUAGGUUGUCGAGGAGCGGCGACGUGUAUACGUACUUACGUAGUUAAGGAGGAGGUCCUCGAGGAGGCCGUCAUUUUUAGUUUAGAACCCGUCGCUGCUGUGACCUCCCUCUCCGUCGCUCUACACUGCCCUCCCCUAGCUCUCUACAUCUGUUCUCUCUCUACGCCCACUCUCCCUUUGCAGCCACGCCCGCCGUGCCGCCUCCGCUGGCAACCACCCCCGCUACGCCGUCUCCGCUCGCCGCCACGACCGUACUCUCACCCUCCCCUUGUUCACUACGCCCGCUCUCCCACUCUCCUGGCCCCGUUGUGGGACCUGUACGGUAGCUUGAGGUCUAGACCGUGGGGUGGUGCUUACUUUGUGGCUUCCUCCUUUGGUAUGGACGGUAGGUGCUUGGUGUUCGGGUCGUGUACGAGGCAGAAAGUCUACAGCAGCUACGUAUGGUGUUAGACGUAGGCGAGGAUCUGAUGGAGGGUUCGAGGCGCGGCUGCGCCCUCGUUUGCGGCAGCGUUGCCGCCUCGGACUCCUGUGUGCAGGUAGUGCUCCUACGGCGGCGGCGGUGCGGUAGGAAUGAACUUGUCUGACUUUUUUGCUAGGUGUGCAUACCUAGGCCGCUGAGAGGAGUGGUGGCUGUUGGUUCCCGCGGCCGCUUCUUUUCGGCGGCCUCUUGCCGCAACCUUUUAGUCGGAGGGGACCGGCGCCGAUCCCAAGGUCGGCAGUCCCUGUCCUUUUUGUCGCUACAUGAUGAUCAUGAGGAGCACGAUCAUCAGGCAAAUCUUAGAGAUGAGGAUUACCUCGUCAACUAAUUGGUCGCUUUUGGUCGCUUGUUUUUUAGCCUGCUGCGGGAUCGAGGGAGGCGGGCGCCCAGCGGGCGAGGGAGCGCGGGGACAACGAGGGAGGAGCUAGGGCUAGACCUAGCUCCCCUGCUCCUCGAGGACGGAGGGGCUGCCGGCUGGAGGAGGAGCGGGGCGGCGACGCAGGCCGCGGCGGUGCCAGAGACCUCGGUCCCUUCGGUACCGGACUCGAGCCGGAGCUCCAGGGGCGGCGGCAGAGGACGUCGAAGACGGGGCGGCGGAGUGGCGGGCUCGAGCGGCAGCGUGGUUGGAGCCGCGGCGCGGCGGCGGCCGAGACCAGCGGAGGUGGAGGCGCGGCACUCCUUGGGCGGUGUGCGCAGUUCCGCUCCGCGGAGGACCCGAGGCAGGCAAAGGUCUCGCUCGCGGGCGCUUAUGGAUCGAUCGGCGGCGGCAGCACUGGCAAGGUCGGUGGCGGUUCGGGGUCGAGAAGUGCCCGUCCCUCUCUUCCCCCCGUACUAGCCGCCCCGUCUCAAGAAAGCCUUCCUGUCGCACCACCCGUUGUACCUGCCUAUGGAGUCGAUGGACAGGGAGCUCAUACUGAAGCAGAGCCUGUGGUUAGGACGAACCCAUAGAAGUAAAACCUUCGUCCUCAGGAAAGGAGUAUUCUACCUACUCGACAUCCUAAACUAAGACAAGUCGAACUUAAUCAAAAAGUAGUAGUACAAGAAACAUAAUCCUUAAGUACGGAAGGUCGAGAUUAAAAAAGCGUAACAAUCACAUACGACCCUCAGUGUAAUAAUACGACGAUCGUUUGUCAUCCUAACCUUCAGAAUGAGACAUCCAAUCAUUAUAGAAAAGGUGAUAUGGCUCCAAGUCGUUAAAUUAAGCAUAAUUCCAGUGUGUUCGUCAAACCAAAAGUCUAAACAGAACUGUUUGUAUAAACCAAGUCGUUAAAUUAAGUAUAAUUUCAGUGUGUUCGUCAAACCAAAAAUCUAAACAGAACUGUUUGUAUAAAACGUCUAAUAGGAGUGUAUACUUUAACUAAAGACGUUCAAGGAAAGUGAAGAAUAAAUAAAGAAGUGAACCAAUACUACAUGACGAUAAGCAAAAGUACUACUAAGUACGCAAAACAUCAAAAGUGACUGUCUUAGAACAGAACUUUGUUCUAACCAAGGGUAACAAUGUCACUUCAUCGAUGGUUCGUCGCUCCGGUAGCUCACUGUGCUCUGGCGCCCUGCCGCACUCUUCUUCGUCCCCCACAGACCGCCCUACCUCUUCUGGUGUCCCUUCACACCGCUACCUCACGUUAGGGCUUCUUCUUCUUGUAACGUUUCUUUCUGGGACCGGUUCACGGUGGGUUAAGAGAAAGUGGCUGGGUAGAUUACCGGUAGUUAAGUUAACCAGGUUCGACAACACAACUGGAAGGGUAACUAGGUGAUGUAGGAGCGAGUCGACCAAGACGAUACAAAGAAGAGGUACCGUAACGACCAACGGCCGCACGGACUGUAGCGCGGAAUACACUGCACUGUACUACGAGGAGAUGCACAAGAAGAGUGGGGCCAAAGGUACUCCUCUCUACAACAAGACACCAAGACAUCAAGAUGAGGUAUCGUUACUACCUCAGUGGAGGUAUACCUAUCGUUAAUAGAGCCCUAGUACUCUCGACAGAUGCGUUGCCGGUCCCCCGUAUACGAAGAGGAUCGUGAUUCUGGAGGUAGGAUAAACUCGGUCUUACCGAAACCACGGGAGAGAGCGAGUACCACUCCGGCACGUACGAACGGUACAACACCGAUGCUUUAGAGUCUGACUCAGCGAAGCCAGCCCGUGAUAAGUCCCCUUAUAAACAAGUCUUAGAAGUCAGAACAUUAAAAGAGGAACUACUGUUACUGGUACGACACGACCCCCUAAACCCUAAGGUAGGAACGACAAACCUGAAGGCGACGGUUUAGGUCUAGAAUAGGUUUCUGAACCCUGAGGUUUAAUGUACGGGGUCUUGUAACCGCUGGUUUGUAGUCUCCGGGUUAAUCAAUGCUCUGACUGAGCAACCCCAAAGCGAACCUCGUAAGAACUCUACAAGUCACCGCAAGUCUGAACCACACGGUUUAGUGGUCUACUCUAAAUAGUCAGUCAACAGGACUUCUUUCUCUUUGGCUACAAGGACAUGUUAAAUGGAUGCCUCCAGCGAUUACAGGAGAGACCGACGAUACUCAUACUUAAAGCCCUAGUGAGGAACUACAAUCUAUAGAAUGUCAGUAAACUUUACAUUGUACGAUUUUGAGACAAAGACGAAGACGGAACAAUUGAAUGUAUUAAACCAAUUUGACGGUACCUACCCACUAAAAUGGUAUAAAGUAAAAGUAUAAACGAAUAUAAUAUAACAUGUUUGAUGAUUCGUAAUAACUUCAAACAGUGUACUUUCGUACCUUGACGAAAGAAUCGACACAGCAAAUAUCAGUAUAUACCAGUUACGUCCAAAUAAAAGGAGGUCUCAAAUGAAAAUGAUACAGGACCAUGACCAAAAGAGACGUCCAAAGAGAUGUAAUCGAAACACAUAAGUUAAAAAAACAAGGACUGUUCUUCACGUAACGUGUACGUGUGAAUAUACUUGUUCGGAAUGUACUAAACGAGAAAAUGACUACCUGACUCCUCCAGUCUCUACAUAUUGUCGGCAUAACUAGGUUUACUGUUCAUGCCGUCACGAUUGGACGAAUGGAUCUUAAAAUGGUGUAGGAUUCUGAACGUUUAGACAUAUUAUCCUUACCGAUCGACAAAAGACCAGAUGUUGGCACUGUAGACCACCGUAGAGAGUGGUACAGAAGUGUAUCACAAAUCAGUACUAAGAACGUAUGACAGCUCUGAGCUCUUCCCGCACUGUAAAAAAGGACUUGACUAAAGAUUAAAAAAAAACGAAUGGCCAACUCGAGCCAAAGUUGAGAAUGGACUCAUCAACUAUCCUUUCGGACUACGUCCACAUACCUUUAAUACGUUAAGGUACUCCAAACCUCAACAGGUCAUAUGAUGACUCCGGAUGUAUAAAACGACUACGUCCAACCUCCACUGUGUACUUGCGACCGUUGCGUUUUAUCGUCUAUAUUUUAUUGACGUCGAGUCCGGUACAUCAAGAUGUUGUUGGUUCCUUCUUCAGGCAAAAAAUUCGGCUGGAACCGGUUCGUAAAUUCGAAUAUACCAACGAGAGAUAAAAAGUCUCCACGCACAUGACUCCUGCGGGUACUAAAUCCCGGUUUUUAGAUCUGUUUCACUGUUUUGAAACAUGCUCUGAAUGAACUUCGGUUCCUCCAGUCCCCUCCUCCUGUUGUUCCGACCCCUCGCCUCCGCCUCUGGCUGCCCCUUCUCUUACUAGUUCGUACAUUUAGAUCUCGUGUUCGAGCACUAAAUAGUUCCCUCACCGCGACGGCGGCCUAAUCUUUUAGUAUAGAGUGCAAUUCCACAAAAACAGAAAACAAAGACAUGUUUAAACCACGUCCGUUCAAAAACUACUAUAUAUAUUCUACUGAUCGUAAUAGAAAAAUAACUCACGUACAAGACCAUCGUAAUAGAUGAAUCUUUUUUAACGAUAUACGCACAUCACUUAUUAUAGACAUCCGCCAAAGGGUG